CGUUUCUGAAUCAUCACAGCAAGAGAUAUACAACUUUAAAAGUAAUGUGCUUUGAAAAAAGGUGUUUUUGUUAUGGAAAUCCUAGGGUGGAGUUCUAGUGUGGAUGAAGUUCUUAGAUCCGCUUCUGGUUCGGUUGAGGAUGUGAAACUGUUUUGCUGUGAUCAAACUCAGGUUAACCAUUUGCCUUGGAAGUUAUGUUAGAGGCUGCUAUGGAGUUUUCGGUUUUGUAUGGAGGUUAACCAACCAAUUAGUAAGGGCAGAUUCAGGUUGUGGCUUUGAAUCGUGCUGUUGGAGGUUAGGUGGAUAUCAUUUGGGUUGAAAUUCGUUGGACAGUUGGAAGUUCGGUUGGAAUUUGUUAUGGUUCUAUUCUGAAUUCAGUUGAAAUUUGGAAAUUCGGUUAGAUGUUGGUUUUUACUAAAGUUCUAUUAGUGAAGUGAUUUAGAAAAUGUUGUUAGAUAGUGAAUUAUUCUUUUGUGCAGUUAGUAAAAAUGUUGUUAUGAAUAUUGUUAAUUUUGUUAGAUGUUGAAUGUUGUUAGUUCAAUUGAUUAUAAUGCUUUUAAUCGAAACUGAUGGAAAUAUGUUAUAUUAGCUAAUGUGAAGUGAAAAAUCAGAAUUGAAACGAACAUUGUAUUUCUUACCAAUUCCUGUUAUGGAACGAAAGGCGUCGCCGUCAUAGCUUAUUGGAGAACUGUUUUGGAGUUGUUAUAAGUUUAGGAUGGGAUUACUUGAUGUCUUGUUAUUUGUUAGCUGCUGCAGCUUGGAUUAAUGUGAAUAUGCCUGGGACUUGGAUUAAUGUGAAUAUGCCUGGGACUGAUACAGGUUAUUGACUGUUGAUGUUUGUGCAGGAUCCUUUGGUUUGCAACUUGCAGGUGUGAUGCAUAAUUGGUUAAUUACUGCAGAAUUUUGGACAUAUUUGCUUCAGGAAUGAAUAGAAAGUCUGAAGGUUAUUGGUUAGCUUGGGAAUUUCGGCUUGGAUGCGGCUACGGAGCGCAUUGGAUGGCGGGGCUGUUUUGGAAUUCUUAUGGAAUGCUAUGGCCUUGAUGAUAUUGAUUCGCCACUGUUAAAAAAAUCAUAUGUAAUGGAUUGAGAUAUAUAGAAUGUAUUGAAAUGGUUGGGUAGUGACUAUCGUAAUUUAUGGAAAUGUGGUAAUGGUUGUAUAAUGUUAUGGUUUUGUGGUUUAUGUGCUUUGAGCGCAAAUGUAUUUUGGAAUUGGAAUGAAA